GAUGAACGCUGGCGGCGUGCCUAAUACAUGCAAGUCGAGCGAAUGGAUUAAGAGCUUGCUCUUAUGAAGUUAGCGGCGGACGGGUGAGUAACACGUGGGUAACCUGCCCAUAAGACUGGGAUAACUCCGGGAAACCGGGGCUAAUACCGGAUAAUAUUUUGAACUGCAUGGUUCGAAAUUGAAAGGCGGCUUCGGCUGUCACUUAUGGAUGGACCCGCGUCGCAUUAGCUAGUUGGUGAGGUAACGGCUCACCAAGGCAACGAUGCGUAGCCGACCUGAGAUGGUGAUCGGCCACACUGGGACUGGGACACGGCCCAGACUCCUACGGGAGGCAGCAGUAGGGAAUCUUCCGCAAUGGACGAAAGUCGGACGGAGCAACGCCGCGUGAGUGAUGAAGGCUUUCGGGUCGUAAAACUCUGUUGUUAGGGAAGAACAAGUGCUAGUUGAAUAAGCUGGCACCUUGACGGUACCUAACCAGAAAGCCACGGCUAACUACGUGCCAGCCGCCGCGGUAA
rnacentral:rRNA from 1 species